UGCUAUUGUAUUGUGUGUGUAUGUAUAUAUAUAGUUACAAAGUAACUAGUAACUGGCUACUUGAGUAGUUUUUUCAUUGGAUACUUUUUUACUCUUACUCAAGUAACUAUUAAGAUUAUUACUUUCACUUUUACUUUGAGUAAAUAUUUCUAUAAGUACUUGUACUUUUACUUGAGUACAGUUUUUGAAUACUCUACCCACCUCUGUAAUUAACCUAAUUAGCUCAGGUGGAGAGGAUUCAGUUAAUCAACUUAACCAAUGACAAGAGGUAUAAAUACAGCAGACUUACCUCUGUGCGUCUGACAGUUUAUCAGCAUCCCUCCUCCAUCCCAUCUGUGUAGAGAACUUUUGAUUACCCGAUGGGACACACUUAUAGUUUUUGAAUACUCUAUGUUCGGGCAUGAUGGGAUAUGCUUAGCCUCGAAUACCGCUUCGGAUAGUGUGGGUUUAGUGUGCGUUAAGGGCACUGCACUUUGGCAUUUUUAAGACAUGGGACAGUCUUGCACACUCACUUCCUGUCACGUGCACGAGCUCUCAAGUGGCCAAGACCGCAAGUGUGGGUAUUUGGACAAAGCAUUCGGGCGCUUCUCAAAUGGAAGGUUGCAAAUCUCGGCUGUCACGUCAUCAAACGUCGCUGAAGGCUAUCUCAAUCAGAAGGAUCCUUGAAAGGCAGCCUUCAUUUUUCAUCCAUCAUUCAUCUCAUCUUGAAAGAUGCUUCAGGUGUGCGUGUGGCUAUGUCACAAUCGAAAUAAUCCCUUUUACACAUAAUUUAAAUGCAUGCAAGAAAGAACAGUUUGUGUUAAUUGUGUAUAUUAGUAAGACCUAGUCAGCUACAGUAAACGUGUUCACUGAAAACAUGGAGACAGUAUGAUUUUUUUGUUUGUUUGUUUGUUUGUCCAGGUCCAGCACUACAGCUGAAUUAAUAUGAGUGUUCCAGUCCUUCAGCGAUUCUUUGGUGGAGAGGAUACAAGGCCUGAUUUUCGUCUCAGCAGGGAGGACAUCAGUGAACUCCUGACAGUGCUGGAGAUGGACAGGCAUCAUGGGUAGAGGCCGACUCUGGAAACCCUGGUGAUCCUGUUUUGGUUGGCAACUGGGACAUCCUACAGCUUAGUUUGCAGGGCCUUUGAAUGCCCCUACCAACUGUCCCAAUUGUUAUAUUUAUAAUGUAUGAAAAACUAUAAAAUCAGCCACUUUUCUUUACAUUCACAACACUGGCAUACCAUCAGAGUAUGCACAUGAAUAUGGACCUAGAGCUGACUUGAUACACCUGAUUUACAAUAUUGCUACACAUUCUUUCUUAUAACAACCAAAUUAUUGAUCUCAUUUUACCUGCAGGUGGUUGCAGCUUGUGCAAUAUUGCACAACAUAUGCAUUGGUGUAGGUGACCUCUUGGAAGAUGGAGAUGUUCCACAGGACAACAAUCAGCCUCUCCGAGGAAAUAAUGAUGACAGCCGGAGCGGAGCAGCAUGGAUCAUGACUACUCUUUUCAGAGAGGAUUGUGGGUAAUUGAAGGCAGCGAAGGAUACGUCUGAUCCAUCCAUCAGAACAGGCAGAAUGAAGGGCGCGAAACAAAGGCUGCCUUCCAGGUCCUUCAGAUUGAGAUGGCCUUCAGCAGCGCUUGAUGACGUCGCAGCCGAGAUUUGCAGCCUUUUAAUGCUGAGAGUACUAGUCUACAAGCCUCAGAAGGACUGGACUAUGAAGGACGCAGUCUUCUGUUUGAGAAGCACCCAAAGUUUCUUACGCAGAGCUUUCAAAAUGACAGAGGAGAAGAUGACUUUUCAGCUUACAAGAACAUCGCUGAAUUACUGUAAAUGAUGUAAGUAACAGUGCUCAGUUGAAGGUGGUAGUUCACUAUUAGCUAAUCAGUAACUACUGUUUUUUCAUUCCUCCCAGAGAACUACUAAGAACUACUAUAUACAGGUUCAUAAUUAACAUGAAUGAUGCAUAAUGUAUAAUUAAUUCUAAAGUGAAGGUCAUGGUAGCCCAAUAGUGAUGACUGAAGUAUUACCAAAUCCUUUAGAAGGAAUUACUAAUUAUUUGGAUCAGUAUUCUGAAGUGAGAAACAUGAUAACUCUCUAGUAACUACUGGAGUCAUUGUAAACUUUUGAGGUUAAUAGUUAAUUUUACUAGUUACUAGAGUGUUAAUAAUGCAUUACUCAUUUGUUCCUGUGUAGUUAUUCAUUAAUGAAGGAUCAGUUUUCUAAAGUGUUUCCAAUCAGGCAAAUAAGAUCACUGGACAUAAACACUCACUCUAGGACUUGUUUGAUCGUUUUAUGAAAAAAAAAAAAAGAAAAAUGUCAAUUGUGAUUUUUAAAGACCGUACUCACCCCCUUCACUCUGGUUUUGAAAUGCUCACAUCUGGGCGAAGACUCAAAAUUCCUUUGGCCAGAAGUAAUGUGUAUAAAACAUUAUUUGUCCCAAUGGCAGUGAUUAUUAUAAAUCACACUAUUUUCUGAAAUAAUGCAAGAGAACGGUUGGCAAUAUAGCGCUUUUUAAUUGAUUGUUUAGAUGAAUUUUUAUUGUUGUGGGAUGUUUGGAAAUAUGUUAGGAAUGAUGUGGAUAGUGUAAUUCUGUUUAUUUCUGUGUUUGUGUGUCAGUGUGUGUCGUGUUGUUAAGCACUUCUGUGGAUGUAUUUAUGUAUAUGUAUGACACCAGUGUCAAAGACAAAUUUCUGCUCCGUGACAAACAGAAUGAACAAUAAAGUUAACUUAAGCUCAGA